CACUAGUGCAGAGGAUGCCCUUGCAGGUGUUAAAAGUGCUCCAGACAGCGAGAGUGCUACAGAAACCAGUAGCCUAACGGUACCGGAUACAGAUUAUGAGCUUGGGCCCUACCAGCCUAACAAUCCUGUCGGGGUGGAUUAUGUGAUUCCCAAGACUGGAUUCUACUGCAAACUGUGCUCACUGUUCUACACAAGUGAGGAGGUAGCAAAGGUUACACAUUGCAGCAGCCUGGCUCACUAUCAGAAACUCAAGAAACUUCUGACCAAGACCGCCGAAACUACAGAGGAGAAUUGAGCAGUAGAAGGGAUAACGUUUUUGCAUUCGUUCGUUUCAAAAUGAUCCUGGUCUUUUUUCACAAUGUUCUAUG